rnacentral:rRNA from 1 species
UGGGGAAUUGUUCGCAAUGGGCGCAAGACUGACGACGCAACGCCGCGUGGAGGAUGAAGACCUUCGGGUCGUAAACUCCUUUCGAUCGAGACGAAUGGCCUCCGGGUGAAUAAUCCGGAGGAGUGACGGUACCGAGAGAAGAAGCCCCGGCUAACUCCGUGCCAGCAGCCGCGGUAAUACGGGGGGGGCAAGCGUUGUUCGGAAUUACUGGGCGUAAAGGGCUCGUAGGUGGCCAACUAAGUCAGACGUGAAAUCCCUCGGCUUAACCGGGGAACUGCAUCUGAUACUGGAUGGCUUGAGUUUGGGAGAGGGACGCGGAAUUCCAGGUGUAGCGGUGAAAUGCGUAGAUAUCUGGAGGAACACCGGUGGCGAAGGCGGCGUCCUGGACCAAUACUGACACUGAUGAGCGAAAGCCAGGGGAGCAAACGGG